rnacentral:rRNA from 1 species
UACGUAGGCAGCGAGCGUUGUUCGGAGUUACUGGGCGUAAAGCGCACGUAGGCGGCUUUUCAAGUCGGAUGUGAAAUCCCUCGGCUUAACCAAGGAAGUGCAUCCGAAACUGGAAGGCUUGAGUACUUAAGAGGAUCGCGGAAUUCCCGGUGUAGAGGUGAAAUUCGUAGAUAUCGGGAGGAACACCAGUGGCGAAGGCGGCGAUCUGGGAAGAUACUGACGCUGAGGUGCGAAAGCGUGGGGAGCAAACAGG